UAUCAGACCAAAACCAACCCGGGCCCACCCAGCAGCUUUUCAGAGAGAUGGCCGGGCAGCACCGAACUCCGGGGAAGCGAGCAUUUAUCAGACCAAAACAAACCCGGGCCCGCCCGGCAGCUUUAGUGACUCUAGAUCACCUCGAGACGAUCGCACGACCCCGCGGUGGCGAUGACCCCUUCAAAUGUCUGCCCCAUCAGCUUCCGAUGGUACUGUCUGUGCCUACCGUGGUGACCACAGGUGAUGGGGAAUCAGGGUUCAAUUCUG
rnacentral:ncRNA from 1 species